rnacentral:misc_RNA from 1 species
UAUAAUAUAAUAAGACUGCCGUUUGCUCUUGUUGGCAUACCGGCGUAUAAUGGAGUUUCGCGUAACUGCGUGCUUUCUAAAUUAUUCACUCAACGUGUGAGCCAGUCCUGUUCGCAACAGCGGCAAUACCGUUCGUUGACGUUCGCGGGAUUACGGCGGGUUGUGUGUCCUAGAUUAUUAAUAUAUUCUUGCGACCCACCCGAAUGCCGGAAACCCGAACUCUUCGAUGAGUGUUAUGUCGGCGUACUCGGACGACCUAAUGGUUCCUCGUUAUUAUCGUACGCGCUUGCAUUUCAUUGCGAUAUUUAUUUCAUUAUGAAUUUUCGCUUCGAUUAGUGAGCGUGUUACGAAAUUACAAAA